GCCUCCGGGAUGGACUCCAGACCCCCCAGGACAAGCGGUUACAGAAGAUGGAUGGAUGGAUAGAUGGAUGGGUGAACCUGACUUACUCCAUAAGAUACAUAUCGAGCCAAAAGCAAGGCGGGGAUUAACCCAAGACAGGAUGUCAACCCAUUACAGGACACUCACAUCAUUCAUACCUACAGACAGUUUUGCAGUUCUUAUUCACUGUAUGUGCUAAUGGUGCUUAUCUGGAACAAAUCUACAAAGCUAGUUAAUUAAGCUGCAGACUCACUGCAAACUUUGACUGGAUAAGUGGUUAUGAAAGACAGAUGGAUGUACAAUAUAUGGUUUAUACAUUUAUUAA